rnacentral:piRNA from 1 species
UGGGAAGUGAGGAGCAUCUCUGCCUGG